rnacentral:rRNA from 1 species
AUUGAACGCUGGCGGCAGGCCUAACACAUGCAAGUCGAGCGGAUGAAGGGAGCUUGCUCCUGGAUUCAGCGGCGGACGGGUGAGUAAUGCCUAGGAAUCUGCCUGGUAGUGGGGGAUAACGUCCGGAAACGGGCGCUAAUACCGCAUACGUCCUGAGGGAGAAAGUGGGGGAUCUUCGGACCUCACGCUAUCAGAUGAGCCUAGGUCGGAUUAGCUAGUUGGUGGGGUAAAGGCCUACCAAGGCGACGAUCCGUAACUGGUCUGAGAGGAUGAUCAGUCACACGUGAGCUGAGACACGGUCCAGACUCCUACGGGAGGCAGCAGUGGGGAAUAUUGGACAAUGGGCGAAAGCCUGAUCCAGCCAUGCCGCGUGUGUGAAGAAGGUCUUCGGAUUGUAAAGCACUUUAAGUUGGGAGGAAGGGCAGUAAGUUAAUACCUUGCUGUUUUGACGUUACCAACAGAAUAAGCACCGGCUAACUUCGUG